rnacentral:snRNA from 1 species
AUGCUCACUUCAGCAGCAGAUACACUAAAAUUGGAACUAUGCAGAGAAGAUUAUCAAGGCCCCUGUGCAAGGAUGAUACCAAACUCAUGAAACAUUCCAUAUUUUU